UGGGGGUUUUGGCACAAUGGGCGAAAGCCUGAUGCAGCGACGCCGCGUGGGGGAUGAAGGCUUUCGGGUUGUAAACCUCUUUCGCUAUCGAACAAGGCCCGCUUAGGGUGGGUUGAGGGUAGGUGGAGAAGAAGCGCCGGCUAACUACGUGCCAGCAGCCGCGGUAAUACGUAGGGCGCGAGCGUUGUCCGGAAUUAUUGGGCGUAAAGGGCUUGUAGGCGGCUUGUUGCGCCUGCUGUGAAAACGCGGGGCUUAACUUCGCGCGUGCAGUGGGUACGGGCAGGCUUGAGUGUGGUAGGGGUGACUGGAAUUCCAGGUGUAGCGGUGGAAUGCGCAGAUAUCUGGAGGAACACCGAUGGCGAAGGCAGGUCACUGGGCCAUUACUGACGCUGAGGAGCGAAAGCAUGGGUAGCGAACAGG
rnacentral:rRNA from 1 species